CACUCUGGGACAAGCCCUGGAAACGGGGUCUAAUACCGGAUAAUACCUGCCUGGGCAUCUGGGUGGGUUGAAAGCUCCGGCGGUGAAGGAUGAGCCCGCGGCCUAUCAGCUUGUUGGUGAGGUAGUGGCUCACCAAGGCGACGACGGGUAGCCGGCCUGAGAGGGCGACCGGCCACACUGGGACUGAGACACGGCCCAGACUCCUACGGGAGGCAGCAGUGGGGAAUAUUGCACAAUGGGCGAAAGCCUGAUGCAGCGACGCCGCGUGAGGGAUGACGGCCUUCGGGUUGUAAACCUCUUUCAGCAGGGAAGAAGCGAAAGUGACGGUACCUGCAGAAGAAGCGCCGGCUAACUACGUGCCAGCAGCCGCGGUAAUACGUAGGGCGCAAGCGUUGUCCGGAAUUAUUGGGCGUAAAGAGCUCGUAGGCGGCUUGUCACGUCGGUUGUGAAAGCCCGGGGCUUAACCCCGGGUCUGCAGUCGAUACGGGCAGGCUAGAGUG
rnacentral:rRNA from 1 species